GCAUUGCUCGCCCUAGCAGGUAAGAAUCCACGAGAGUACAGUACGACUCUCGCACCUCUGCACAUGCACGUCCUCUCUGGGUGUGGUCAACGCGCUUCCGUUUGCUGUUUCUCUGUAGGCGGCGACACUCUGCAUUUGUAUGAGGAGACCGCAUUGGACGGUGGAUGGACCGUCUACCCAAUCAGCUCCGCCAUAGUCGAGAACACAACGAUCGCACUGCGCUGCGAGCGUAACGACGUGUUCGUGCCCACUUAAGGCAUGAAGGGCUUCCACGAGACGAAUUUUGCAGUCGCCAUCGACAAAUUCGAGGACGAUCCGCAGGUGGAGGUCGAAACGGCGACGGAUAUUUUGAAGAUUGGAAAAUUUGGAAGGAAGUAUGAAGGCGAGUGGAAUUGUUUUACGAUGGGGAGAGAUGAUGUGGGACGUCAGGUAUCACUGCGUGGGCCUACUCGCUCGUUGGAGCUUGCUGUUGCUCCUAAAAUCACUAAGUUUGUUAUUCCUAAUGCCAACGAGUCAGGCUCUGUGACAAUUGAGUGUGCAUCUCUUAACGCUAAGCCUGUUCCUACCUACAUGCUUAUUAAACAGAAGGAAACAGGAAAGACAUUAAGAGAGUGACUGGUAAAACACUGCUUAGCUACAUCAUCAGCAACGUCGCCAAAACUGACGCUGGACUAUAUGAGUGUGUCGGUAGUAACAAAGCAGGAGUUGGAAGCAAGACUGAGCAGUUUACAGUGCAAUAUACUCCAGUCACCACCAUCCUUUAAAACAAAGUAAACACUAUUGACCAAACAGACAACUUUGUUUUCAAUUGUAAGUCAGAAGAAGUUCCUGAUCCACAAAUGCAAUGGCUGAAGAAUGGAAGAGAGGUAAAGUCUGAUGACAUCAGCGACAGCAUAUUGGUAAUCACAAAUGCUAAGAAGAGUGACACAGGCACGUACACCUGUGAAGGAAGGAAUAUCAUGGGAGUUCAUUAUGCCGCGGUAAUACUGGAAGUAAGAGUUCCACCUGAUGCACUUACUUAUCUUAUUGCUAAGAACAAAACAAACAUUUCCAUUGAUUUGUCAUGGACACCAGGAUAUGAAAACUUUAAUCCAAUUCAUGGAUACAAAGUGACCUACAGAGUGAGUGGAUCGAAUCAUUGGAAGACCGCCAGAAACUUUAGUGGUGGAACUGCAGAAGAGCAACUGGUCAGUGGGUUAGAGCCGUUGACUAGCUAUGAGUUUACAAACCAUUAAGAAGACAUAAGCUCAACGUACAACUGACUGUCGAUGAGAAAGAUCCAUUAGACUCUUGCUUUUACAACCAUAAAGAUGAUGUAGCAAGCAAUCACUGACAUGUUAAGAACACAUACAGAGCAAGUGUACAUGAGAUGAUGGAUGUUGCUGAAAAACUGUCUGACUGUUCGCAGAAGCUUGUCUGGAAAUAGGUUUUACAUUAACAAGACAAAGAUGUUAGAAAAAGAAAACAAAGAUGAUUGCUUUAUGCAAGCUGUAACAGCAUUGGAUACGUGGACUAAUGUAUUUGGUGACGAAGCAAAUCGGGAAGCAAUAAUCAGGGCAAUGUAUAACAUUGGUUGCAUAUCUCAGGCUGAAGAUGUUUUGAUCUUGACUUAGUAAAGCAUGUUUGCCCACUUAAAUUACUCGAAUUUGAUUAGAUUAUUGCAUCACAAUGUAGUAUUUCAGUUUGCUGUGUUUUAUUUUGUAUUUAUUAAAAUGUGUAUUUUUAGUUUAGCACUUGAAUUAGCGGUGCAUGAUACUCAUUGUUCUAUACACAUUUAGCCUGACUUCGAUGUGAUGGUUACUGACGUUGUAUGUUCACAUGGAUAGCAAU